CACGUAGGGCGCAAGCGUUGUCCGGAAUUAUUGGGCGUAAAGAGCUCGUAGGCGGUCUGUUGCGUCCGCUGUGAAAACUCGGAGCUCAACUCCGAGCCUGCGUUCGAUACUGGAUGGCUAGAGUCUGGUAGGGGGAUCUGGAAUUCCUGGUGUAGCGGUGGAAUGCGCAGAUAUCAGGAGGAACACCGGUGGCGAAGGCGGGAUCCUGGGCCAGUACUGACGCUGAGGAGCGAAAGCGUGGGGAGCAAACAGG
rnacentral:rRNA from 1 species